AAAGAGAAACGUGAUUCGGGCCUUGAUCGAGGGAAGAACAAAAUUUACGAGGAUUAGGCUCAUUCUCAUCAUUUUGUGCCGAGUGCCGCCAAAGUAGUUCGAGGAUAGUCGCCUACGUCGGAGAAGCUAGUCACACUAUCCUCAAAGCUCUUGGUAUAACUAGUUUUAUCAUUUUGAUUAUGGCAUGUAUAGGUAUCUUUGAUUUUAUUUUUGUGUCACAUUAUUUUGGGGCCAAAAGUGUUGGCUUGUUUUAGCACUUGACUCAUUUUGUAUAAGGCCAUGAAAAUGGCUAAUAUUGUAAGUCAUUAUAUGAAUGCAAAAUAGUCUUUGCGAAUGUGAAA